rnacentral:sRNA from 1 species
UUGCGUUAAGGAUAGAAGGCGAUAUCCUCGUAGAGAAACGAAGAGAUAAAGCCGAUAGCCUGACCCGUA